rnacentral:misc_RNA from 1 species
GAAAACUGCGGAGGGAUCAUUACAAGUGACCCCGGUCUAACCACCGGGGAUGUUCAUAACCCUUUGUUGUCCGACUCUGUUGCCUCCGGGGCGACCCUGCCUUCGGGCGGGGGCUCCGGGUGGACACUUCAAACUCUUGCGUAACUUUGCAGUCUGAGUAAACUUAAUUAAUAAAUUAAAACUUUUAACAACGGAUCUCUUGGUUCUGGCAUCGAUGAAGAACGCAGCGAAAUGCGAUAAGUAAUGUGAAUUGCAGAAUUCAGUGAAUCAUCGAAUCUUUGAACGCACAUUGCGCCCCCUGGUAUUCCGGGGGGCAUGCCUGUUCGAGCGUCAUUUCACCACUCAAGCCUCGCUUGGUAUUGGGCAACGCGGUCCGCCGCGUGCCUCAAAUCGACCGGCUGGGUCUUCUGUCCCCUAAGCGUUGUGGAAACUAUUCGCUAAAGGGUGUUCGGGAGGCUACGCCGUAAAACAACCCCAUUUCUAAGGUUGACCUCGGAUCAGGUAGGGAUACCCGCUGAACUUAAGCAUAUCAAUAA